AUUGAACGCUGGCGGCAUGCUUUACACAUGCAAGUCGAACGGUAACAGGCCUUCGGGUGCUGACGAGUGGCGAACGGGUGAGUAAUGCAUCGGAACGUACCCAGAGGUGGGGGAUAACGCAGCGAAAGCUGUGCUAAUACCGCAUGUGAUCUGAGGAUGAAAGCGGGGGACCGAGCAGCAAUGUUUGGCCUCGCGCCUUUGGAGCGGCCGAUGUCGGAUUAGCUAGUUGGUGGGGUAAAGGCCUACCAAGGCGACGAUCCGUAGCUGGUCUGAGAGGACGACAAGCCACACUGGGACUGAGACACGGCCCAGACUCCUACGGGAGGCAGCAGUGGGGAAUUGUGGACAAUGGGCGCAAGCCUGAUCCAGCAAUGCCGCGUGCGGGAAGAAGGCCUUCGGGUUGUAAACCGCUUUUGGCAGGAACGAAACGGUGUCCGCUAAUACCGGGCGCUAAUGACGGUACCUGCAGAAUAAGCACCGGCUAACUACGUG
rnacentral:rRNA from 1 species